rnacentral:tRNA from 1 species
GCUUAGGUGGCACAGUGGAAGGAGCACUAGACUUAUAGUCUGGAAGACCUGAGUUCGAAUCCAGCCUCAGAC